CCCGGAAGUGGUUGUAUACCGCGAAAUAGCAACAAGUCAACAUGAAAUUGGUGGAAAUGUGAAGGAGUGUGUCUUUAUAAAAGUGAAAGUUCCCCCUACCGGACAAAGACAAGGCAGCUGAGUGGACGGGAAUGUAGCCUACAUGUAUGUCGUGUGCAGUUGUUGUAAUGCAGCGGAGUAAAGCGUCUGUGACUGUGGAAGUGAAGCAGGUAGUAGGAACUCUAUGCAGACUACUAGCGGUUACCGGUUUGGGCGCUGUCCCCGUACCAGAAGCCUUCAGACGGGCAAAAUUCGGUGCUGGACUCGAGGUGGAAAAUCAGUUUUGGCAGCUUCUCGCUGACAUCCUUGAAAGAGCCGGCAUUAUUUACCCUGAAGCCAGUGCACAGCUGAGAGAUCAUAGGAAGCUGGUGGCAGCAGGCCUCUGGCAGACUGGUUACUAUGCUGACUGGAUGUAUGGAAAAGAAGGAGGAGACGGAAAGGAUGGAAGGAGUUUCUCCAGCAAAGAUCUCCUCUUGGCACUGGGCUGGCUGCUUGCUACUGAAACACUAGAGAAACUGUUGACACAGCGAGUACAGCAACUAGACAAAACCCUACUCAUGUCCAUAACUGUGAACACUCAGGUUUCUCAUAAGCCCCAGUUCGACUUGGCCUCACUGCGAAGACUUCAUUGGCUUAUUGGCUGCUUGAGACACCAGGGGCGGACUCUGAUGUCCAUGUUAGAAGAGCGAACUUGUUUGCUUCAUGCUGUUUUUUCUGCCAGCGUCUCCACCACUGCCUUCCCUUCCUCAUCUGAUGAAAGCCCUGCAGUGCUGAAGGAUGACAGCAUUUGCAUGUGGCAGCUCUGCGACCUCCUAGAUGCAUAUCUGAAUUGGAAACAGGUGGAGAAAAUCUUUUGGACCUGGAUGGACAGUGUGGUGGACUGCCAUCUAACAGAUCCUGUCAAGGAGUCUACACAUUCACCCCACUUGAGAACAAGUGUGUGUCACCACGGAAACCAGGGGCUAGAGAAACUAGAGGACGUGCUACUAAGACUGCCCACAGCACAGAAAGGACAUAGGAGAGGUAGAGGGGAGGGUGAGGACAGAGGAGCAGAGAGCUUGCAGGAUAGAUUGGACACUGCUUCCACCCUGUCCCUGCCCUUCCUCUCCCAGGUCUACCGAGCCAGGCUGCAGAGUGCAAGGCCAGUCAAACACGGCAGCUAUCCAGCAGAGGGGCAUCAAGGCAGGGCCAAAGCUCCAGAUGAGCUCCCCUCCUCCAAGGCAGCACAGCUGCUUCUUCAGACAGAGGCUCUGCUGCUGAAGAGGAGGGACCGGCAAAGACAGGUCAACAGGAUGCAGCUGCAGGAAGUGAUUGGCAGGCUGGAUGAACUGGUGUUGAUACCCCCAUAGGCUUUUAUCUUUGAUUACAUUUUCUAAAAAUGAAUGAAAUAAGGGCCUGACUUUUUCCUGUGCCUGUAAUUACAAGACUGCCCAGUCACUGCACUGCAAAAUACAACAUAUUAAUUAGUGAGCCUUAAGUGUAUGUAGGAAUGUAGGUGAAUUGAAUGGAACAUUAAAAUGUUCAACUAAUUUACUAAUUUAAUAUUUUGUAACUUUAUGCUUAAAUGU
rnacentral:lncRNA from 1 species